GACGAACGCUGGCGGCGUGCCUAAUACAUGCAAGUCGAACGCAUUUUCUUUCACCGUAGCUUGCUACACCGAAAGAAAAUGAGUGGCGAACGGGUGAGUAACACGUGGGUAACCUGCCCAUCAGCGGGGGAUAACACUUGGAAACAGGUGCUAAUACCGCAUAAUUCCAUUUACCGCAUGGUAGAUGGAUGAAAGGCGCUUUUGCGUCACUGAUGGAUGGACCCGCGGUGCAUUAGCUAGUUGGUGGGGUAACGGCCUACCAAGGCUGCGAUGCAUAGCCGACCUGAGAGGGUGAGCGGCCACACUGGGACGGAGACACGGCCCAGACUCCUAGGGGAGGCAGCAGUAGGGAAUCUUCGGCAAUGGACGCAAGUCUGACCGCGCAACGCCGCGUGAGUGAAGAAGGUUUUCGGAUCGUAAAACUCUGUUGUUAGAGAAGAACAAGGAUGAGAGUGGAAAGUUCAUCCCUUGACGGUAUCUAACCAGAAAGCCACGGCUAACUACGUG
rnacentral:rRNA from 1 species